GGCCUCACAGAUUAACCUUCUAGAAUCAACAGACCCUAAAAGAGUUUCAAGUGCAAGAGACCCUUUACCCAAAAGACCCUAUUGAGGAGACUUAAAUCAAGAGAGACCCCAAUAAGGAAGUGAAAAAGUCACCCAGGCUUGAGAGAAGCCCCCAGAGAAGAGGCCCCAGCCCAAAAAGACUCCCCAGAGGGACCUCGGGAGGAGAAAGCUGGCAGUGGGGCA
rnacentral:lncRNA from 1 species